UUUAUGGAGAGUUUGAUCCUGGCUCAGGAUGAACGCUGGCGGCGUGCCUAAUACAUGCAAGUCGAGCGAACGGACGAGAAGCUUACUUCUCUGAUGUUAGCGGCGGACGGGUGAGUAACACGUGGAUAACCUACCUAUAAGACUGGGAUAACUUCGGGAAACCGGAGCUAAUACCGGAUAAUAUUUU
rnacentral:rRNA from 1 species